rnacentral:piRNA from 1 species
UGCAACGGGACAUGCUGCAGGCCGAGA